rnacentral:lncRNA from 1 species
CAGGAAUGAGACGGAAACCAGUGAAGCGUUCCUCGCAGGGCCUGGCACUGCCCUCCCAGAAGUGAAGGUACCAGGAGGCAGAGGAAACAGUAGCACCACGGUGCCAUCCUGGAUCCAACGGAGCAGGUGACAGACAGCAGGGGUCACAGGCAGGCCAACUUGGACUGAGGAAAAAAAAGUCGCAGGAAAGCAGCUGGGCAUCCUGCCUUGCUUCGCCCUUGGACUUCUGCAGGGUCCGUUUGCCCUUUGUUUGACUCCCAGACCCCACUGAGCUGGGAACCAACCAGUGGGCUGGAAGCCCAGGAUGGGGUGGCCCACCUAGUAGGGACGACAUUUACUUGCACAAAAGAUGGUCUCCAGGAGCCCCUUCAGGACCGAAGCAGGGAAACACUGUCGCCCUGGAGAGCUGGGAGAGGGGGAGGCAGCAGCAGUCGCUGGCCAGAGAGGGGCGAAACAGAGCUCAGGGUCCCUGCAGCGGGUGGGGGAAGCUCAGGUCCAGGUGGGCUUUGUGUUCCUUGAGGUUCUCCGCCAAGGUUCUGCUUCAUCAGGCCUCUGCCGAGUUCUCUGGCCUCACCUGUCCACCGCUGCUCCGUGCAGCCACCUUUCCCCUGCUCCCCAAGGUGCGUCCAUUUCUGAGUUUCCCUCCUCUGGACCUGUGACCAUGCCAUCCCUCCUGCCUGGACUGCCUCCCAGUCUCUCAGUAGUACCACCUCCAGGUUCAGCUUGUGGUUCCGGCUGGUGGGUGUGCCACAGCCAGACGCUGUGCUCAGCGGGGAUACCCUAACCCUGGGUGAUCUGGGGUCACUCCCGUCAACCUGGGGGGCUCUGCAGGCAGGGAAGAGCCUCCUGGGUCUCUGCUCCAGCCCUGGCUUUACACAAAUGUGCCUGAGAAAACACGGUGUCCUGACACCUGGCCUCAUGCCACCUGGUGACGGCAUCUGAGCCAUCACCAGUGAUCAUUCACCCCUUUUCCCUUUUCCAGACAGCACGAAAAUCCAACACGCCCCUCACCGGAGGACUGGGAGGCUCCCGCGUUUUGGAUUCUGAAAAGCACUCCCUCGUUCACGUCUGCCUGGAUUCGCGCCCUCAAGCCCCCUGGCGCCCACUUUUCUUGCUCUCCAAACACUCGUUGAGGCCCGAGAGGGAGAUGCGAAGUUUGCCCACCACUGCGCGUCCCUCCUCCGCGAGGCGCCAAUGGGCCUGAGUCAGGGGCCUCCCCUUCAUCCGCUGGUCCCUCCCCUGUUCCCAGCUCCAGUUCCUCACCCGCUAUGGCUGGCCUGGCGCCUGUGGCCGUUCACCGUCUGCGAGGCAUCUGCGGGGACUGAAGUCGGGGAGGCAGCGGCGGGCUCUGGCAGAUACCAGGAGAUCCCGCCCCUCGGCCCGGGAGACCCCGCCCCUCGGCCACGCCCCUUUCCGCUCCCCACCCCGCCCUCUUGGGCCCCCCACCCGGCCCAGCCAGACAGAGACCUGCCUCCAGGUGGGUGGGAGGAGACCUUCAGUCCCUCGCCCCGGGCCUGUUGUCACUACCUCCCCCAAACACAUUGGUUAAAGUCACCCGAUUAGAAGGGGCCACCUGUGAGACUUGGAUCCAAAGCAAACUAGCGGAAGCUGAAGGGUCUUGGGGCUUCCCAGGCCUCUCGGAGGCCGGGAUGGUCGUGGAGGAGGGAGCGCUCAGUGCCUGGCCUACUGCCUGCCCUGAGCCGGCUCCCUACAGGACGCUUCUCCUGUACCUUCCACCUGCUGCGAGGAAGGGCUGGGGGCAGGCGUACCCAUUUUCCAGAGGAGAACUGAAGGCUCUCACCCCGGGUUAGGCCAGUGGCCGGAGGCAGAGCCGGGCCUUGAACCUGGCUUUCUGGAUCUUCAUCCAGGCCAUUCUAAAGAUGAUCUGUGACAUGCCUGGCCUGGAGCCUGGCACACAGCAGGUGCUCAGUAAAUACAUAUUUGGCCGGGCGCGAUGACUCACGUCUGUAACCCCAUCACUUUGGGAGGCCGAGGUGGAUGGAUCACCUGAGGUCACGUGUUUGAGACCAUCCUGGCCAACAUGGCGGAACCCUGUCUCUACUAAAAAUACAAAAAUUAGCUGGUUGUGGUGGCGCGUGCCUGUAAUCCCAGCUGCUGGGGAGGCUGAGGCAGGAGAACCUGGGAGGCGGAGGUUGCAGUGAGCCAAGAUCAUGCCAUCACACUCCAGCCUGGGUGACAGAACAAGGCUCAGUCUCAAAAUGAAUACAUACAUACAUACCUAUUUGUAUUAGGAGGAGAAAACCAAGAACCAGAGAAGAGAAGAGAAGGGAAGGGACCUGUGGCCACAUAGCAAGGCCAUGGCACAGCCGAAGUCUCCUCUGCUUUCCUCAUGCAGCCCCGUCCAACCCAUCUCUUUCAUCUCUUUUCUUAAAACUUAAAAAUAUUUUCAGGGGGGUGUGGUGGCUCAUGCCUAUAAUCCCAGCAAUUUGGGAGGAUGAGAUGGGAGGAUUGCUUGAGCCCGGGAGUUUGAGGCUGCAGUGAGCCACUGUAGUCCAGCCGGGGUGACACAGCCAGACUCCAUCUUUUUCUCUGUAUAUUUUUUCACCUCUACCUGAUGUGACUGAGUAACUGCUGGGGUACAUCACCUCUUUCAGGUGAUGGAAAUGUUCUAAAGUUGAUUAUGCUGAUGGUUGGUUGCCCAGCUGUGAAUGCAGUAAAAACAUUGAGCCGUACACUUUAAAUGGACAAGUUAUGUGUGAAUUAUAUCUCAAUAAAGCUCUGUGCCCCACCCAAAUCUCCUGUCAAACUGUGAUUCAUAGCGUUGGAAGUGGGGCCGGGUGGAAGGUGACUAGAUCAUG